rnacentral:sRNA from 1 species
UGGCGCUGCAGUGGCGUUUCCGACUGUGGGAGCCUCAGCUUCCCAGUCGUCCGAUGAGCCCGAGCAGCACCAGAAAAGUACCACUGUAAGUCAUGAGAUGUCUGGUCUGAAUUGGAAACCCUUUGUAUAUGGCGGCCUUGCCUCUAUCGUGGCUGAGUUUGGGACUUUCCCUGUGGACCUUACCAAAACACGACUUCAGGUUCAAGGCCAAAGCAUUGAUGCCCGUUUCAAAGAGAUAAAAUAUAGAGGGAUGUUCCAUGCGCUGUUUCGCAUCUGUAAAGAGGAAGGUGUAUUGGCUCUCUAUUCAGGAAUUGCUCCUGCGUUGCUAAGACAAGCAUCAUAUGGCACCAUUAAAAUUGGGAUUUACCAAAGCUUGAAGCGCUUAUUCGUAGAACGUUUAGAAGAUGAAACUCUUUUAAUUAAUAUGAUCUGUGGGGUAGUGUCAGGAGUGAUAUCUUCCACUAUAGCCAAUCCCACCGAUGUUCUAAAGAUUCGAAUGCAGGCUCAAGGAAGCUUGUUCCAAGGGAGCAUGAUUGGAAGCUUUAUCGAUAUAUACCAACAAGAAGGCACCAGGGGUCUGUGGAGGGGUGUGGUUCCAACUGCUCAGCGUGCUGCCAUCGUUGUGGGAGUAGAGCUACCAGUCUAUGAUAUUACUAAGAAGCAUUUAAUAUUGUCAGGAAUGAUGGGCGAUACAAUUUUAACUCACUUCGUUUCCAGCUUUACAUGUGGUUUGG